rnacentral:misc_RNA from 1 species
GCUCCGUUGGUGAACCAGCGGAGGGAUCAUUACAGAGUUUUCACAACUCCCAACCCUUGCGACCCGUACCCAUUCUGUUCUCGUUGCUUCCGGCGCGGGGGGCGGGGGGGCCCGCAACGGCCUCCCCGCCCCCCCCGUCGCGGGCGGCGGGCACGACGAACCAUUAUAUCUACAACACCAAAAAACGUCUCAGAAAACAAACACAAUAAUCAAAACUUUCAACGACGGAUAUCUCGGCCCUGGCAUCGACGAAGAAAGCAGCAGAUCGGAAAAGCACAC